rnacentral:lncRNA from 1 species
GCUGUUAAACUUUUAUUUCUCAAUUGCAUUACUUUUACAAAAGAAAUACUUGUUCCAAUAGGAAAGAAAAGUAAUUUAUUUUAAUUAAUUUUUAUCAUUUGCAUUCACUGCAAUAAAACACUCCAACUCCUUCAUAGGCCCAUAGAGUGCAAGAGGCAGAGUGAAUCCAAUCUUCUACAAUGGGUUCACACUCUUCCCCACAAACGAGGCAACAUGCCUCCUGGGUUGUAGAUACAGAAGGGUUGCUGUCCAUUUCCUUUAUGUAUGCUACUAGUCCUUCUUCCAUUUCUCUGGGGAAGACUGUCCUAAAACGACCAAGUUACUUUGCAGAAGAACCAGUCUUUAAUAUGCGGUGGAGUGUGCCAAAUGGCAUGCCGUAUGAUGAUGAAGCUUUGCGGAUGGCUACUUCUCCUUUUUUAACAGCAGCCAUUGCAGCAGCAAGGCUGGCCUCAGGCCAUUUGCCG